rnacentral:rRNA from 1 species
AUUGAACGCUGGCGGCAUGCCUUACACAUGCAAGUCGAACGGCAGCGCGGACUUCGGUCUGGCGGCGAGUGGCGAACGGGUGAGUAAUACAUCGGAACGUACCCUGUUGUGGGGGAUAACUAGUCGAAAGAUUAGCUAAUACCGCAUACGACCUGAGGGUGAAAGUGGGGGACCGCAAGGCCUCACGCAGCAGGAGCGGCCGAUGUCUGAUUAGCUAGUUGGUGGGGUAAAGGCCCACCCAGGCGACGAUCAGUAGCUGGUCUGAGAGGACGAACAGAGACACUGGGUCUGAGACACGGCCCAGACUCCUACGGGAGGCAGUAGUGGGGAAUGUUGGACAAUGGGGGCAACCCUGAUGCAGCAAUGCCGCGUGUGUGAAGAAGGCCUUCGGGUUGUAAAGCACUUUUGUCCGGAAAGAAAUCGCGCUGGUUAAUACCUGGCGUGGAUGACGGUACCGGAAGAAUAAGCACCGGCUAACUACGUGCCAGCCGCCGCGGUAA